CCGCGAGGUGGAGCAAAUCUCACAAAACUCAUCCCAGUUCGGAUUGCAGGCUGAAACUCGCCUGCAUGAAGCCGGAGUUGCUAGUAAUCGCGAAUCAGCAUGUCGCGGUGAAUACGUUCCCGGGCCUU
rnacentral:rRNA from 1 species